CAGGGGCGGCGUGCUUACCAUGCAAGUUGAACGGAGUAUGUUGGAAGGGUAACCGGAAGGCAUAUUUAGUGGCGAACGGGUGAGUAAUGCAUGAGAACGUAUCCUCAAGAGGGGGACAACAUUGGGAAACCGAUGCUAAUACCCCAUAAGCCGGGAGGUAAAAGGAGCAAUCCGCUUGAGGAGCGGUUCAUGUCCUAUCAGCUAGUUGGUGAGGUAACGGCUCACCAAGGCGAAGACGGGUAGCCGGCCUGAGAGGGUGAACGGCCACACUGGAACUGAGAGACGGUCCAGACUCCUACGGGAGGCAGCAGUGGGGAAUAUUGGGCAAUGGGGGAAACCCUGACCCAGCGACGCCGCGUGAGGGAAGAAGGCCUUAGGGUCGUAAACCUCUGUUGUGUGGGAAGAAGAGCGUGACGGUACCACACGAGGAAGUCCCGGCUAACUACGUGCCAGCAGCCGCGGUAAUACGUAGGGGACGAGCGUUGUCCGGAUUUACUGGGCGUAAAGGGCGCGUAGGCGGUCAUUUAAGUCAGCUGUGAAAUGGUGCGGCUUAACCGCAUCAUGCGGUUGAAACUGGAUGACUGGAGUGCUGGAGAGGCAAGUGGAAUUCCCAGUGUAGCGGUGAAAUGCGUAGAUAUUGGGAAGAACACCGGUGGCGAAGGCGACUUGCUGGCCAGCAACUGACGCUGAGGCGCGAAAGCCAGGGGAGCAAACGGGGAUUAGAUACCCCGGUAGUCCUGGCCGUAACGAUGAAUGCUAGGUGUGGGCAUCGAGAGGUGUCCGUGCCGGAGCUAACGCGAUAAGCAUUCGCCUGGGGGAG
rnacentral:rRNA from 1 species